rnacentral:rRNA from 1 species
AGAGUUUGAUCCUGGCUCAGGAUGAACGCUGGCGGCGUGCUUAACACAUGCAAGUCGAACGGGAAACCUUUUAUUGAAGCUUCGGCAGAUUUAGAUUGUUUCUAGUGGCGGACGGGUGAGUAACGCGUGGGUAACCUGCCUUAUACAGGGGGAUAACAGUCAGAAAUGACUGCUAAUACCGCAUAAGCGCACAGAGCUGCAUGGCUCGGUGUGAAAAACUCCGGUGGUAUAAGAUGGACCCGCGUUGGAUUAGCUAGUUGGUGAGGUAACGGCCCACCAAGGCGACGAUCCAUAGCCGGCCUGAGAGGGUGAACGGCCACAUUGGGACUGAGACACGGCCCAGACUCCUACGGGAGGCAGCAGUGGGGAAUAUUGCACAAUGGGGGAAACCCUGAUGCAGCGACGCCGCGUGAAGGAAGAAGUAUCUCGGUAUGUAAACUUCUAUCAGCAGGGAAGAAAAUGACGGUACCUGACUAAGAAGCCCCGGCUAACUACGUGCCAGCAGCCGCGGUAAUACGUAGGGGGCAAGCGUUAUCCGGAUUUACUGGGUGUAAAGGGAGCGUAGACGGAUGGACAAGUCUGAUGUGAAAGGCUGGGGCUCAACCCCGGGACUGCAUUGGAAACUGCCCGUCUUGAGUGCCGGAGAGGUAAGCGGAAUUCCUAGUGUAGCGGUGAAAUGCGUAGAUAUUAGGAGGAACACCAGUGGCGAAGGCGGCUUACUGGACGGUAACUGACGUUGAGGCUCGAAAGCGUGGGGAGCAAACCAGGAUUAGAUACCCUGGUAGUCCACGCGGUAAACGAUG